CGCUUUCACUCCUACGGGAGGCAGCAGUGGGGAAUCUUGGACAAUGGGGGCAACCCUGAUCCAGCCAUGCCGCGUGAGUGAUGAAGGCCUUAGGGUCGUAAAGCUCUUUCGCCUGUGAUGAUAAUGACAGUAGCAGGUAAAGAAACCCCGGCUAACUCCGUGCCAGCAGCCGCGGUAAUACGGAGGGGGUUAGCGUUGUUCGGAAUUACUGGGCGUAAAGCGCGCGUAGGCGGAUUAGUCAGUUAGAGGUGAAAUCCCAGGGCUCAACCCUGGAACUGCCUUUAAUACUGCUAGUCUUGAGUUCGAGAGAGGUGAGUGGAAUUCCGAGUGUAGAGGUGAAAUUCGUAGAUAUUCGGAGGAACACCAGUGGCGAAGGCGGCUCACUGGCUCGAUACUGACGCUGAGGUGCGAAAGUGUGGGGAGCAAACAGGAUUAGAUACCCUGGUAG
rnacentral:rRNA from 1 species